CUGCUCUCGCCUUGCUUGCUCUCUGUAGCUUCGUCUUCGCCAUUUUAACCCCCUUCAUCCAUCGGAUCUCGAAGCAAACUUAUGUCGCAAGAGAUAAUCAUUGAUGAAAUCAUAAUCUUGGUGCCCUUUGAUGAACUUCGCAGUUAAUUGGUACUCAUAUUGUUGCUUCUGGUUCAAGAACUGGAUUUGAAGCAUAGCGGUCAAAUCGAAAGCUUGUAGAUAGAAGGUUGGGAGGAGUUUCCACUAGUCGAACUGUUAUAAUCUGCAAGAGAAGAAUAUGCGUUUAAGGCCAUCAAGGCAUCCGGGAUUACGUCAAUUGGAGUACGUGGAAAGGAUUGGGUGUGCGUUGUCACCCAGAAGAAGGUUCAUCUGAUACGAGAUCCUUGGUCCAACAAGCAAGGAAUGAAGCGGUAGAAUUUCAUUUCAAAUGGGGAUAUGAGAUGCCUGUAGAUGUAUUGUCCAAAUGGUACAAAUAUUGUGGCAUAAGGUGAAUACGUUCGCCCCCAGUGCCCCCGCCAAAUGCUGAUACGAGAUCCUUGGUCCAACAAGCAAGGAAUGAAGCGGUAGAAUUUCAUUUCAAAUGGGGAUAUGAGAUGCCUGUAGAUGUAUUGUCCAAAUGGUACAAAUAUUGUGGCAUAAGGUGAAUACGCUCGCCCCCAGCGCCUCUGCCAAAUGCUGAUACGAGAUCCUUGGUCCAACAAGCAAGGAAUGAAGUGGUAGAAUUUCAUUUCAAAUGGGGAUAUGAGAUGCCUGUAGAUGUAUUGUCCAAAUGGUACAAAUAUUGUGGCAUAAGAUGAAUACGCUCGCCCCCAGCGCCCCCACCAAAUGGCAACAAGUGCUGGCCUGAAAGAACAAGAAGCAAUCAACUUUUGGAAAAGAAAAUGAAGAAUAAUCCUGUAUUCUCAUAUGAGGAAACAGUACAGGGUAACUUUCAAUCUCGGAGAAACAUCAUUGCAUGGUCAUAUCAUAUUUUCAGAAGAUUACAUGAGUUAUCAUGGACUAAGUUACUCUUUAGAUUUUUUCUUUAUUGCUUACCGUUCAAAAUAAGUUUGCAGCUAGCAUAGU